CCUACGGGAGGCUGCAGUGGGGAAUAUUGGACAAUGGGCGAAAGCCUGAUCCAGCCAUGCCGCGUGUGUGAAGAAGGCCUUCGGGUUGUAAAGCACUUUCAGUGGGGAAGAAAGCCUUGGGGCUAAUACCCUCGAGGAAGGACAUCACCCACAGAAGAAGCACCGGCUAACUCCGUGCCAGCAGCCGCGGUAAUACGGAGGGUGCGAGCGUUAAUCGGAAUUACUGGGCGUAAAGCGCGCGUAGGCGGUGUGAUAAGCCGGUUGUGAAAGCCCCGGGCUCAACCUGGGAACGGCAUCCGGAACUGUCAGGCUAGAGUGCAGGAGAGGAAGGUAGAAUUCCCGGUGUAGCGGUGAAAUGCGUAGAGAUCGGGAGGAAUACCAGUGGCGAAGGCGGCCUUCUGGACUGACACUGACGCUGAGGUGCGAAAGCGUGGGUAGCAAACAGGAUUAGAUACCCCGGUAGUC
rnacentral:rRNA from 1 species